rnacentral:rRNA from 1 species
CCCUGCCUUUUGUACACACCGCCCGUCGCUUGUACCGAUUGGAUGGUCCGGUGAAAUCUUCGGAUCGCUGGCGUGCCGGCUUGCCGACGCGCUGCGAAAAGUUGAUUAAACCUUAUCAUCUAGAGGAACAAGAA